rnacentral:rRNA from 1 species
CCUACGGGAGGCUGCAGUGGGGAAUAUUGGACAAUGGGCGAAAGCCUGAUCCAGCCAUGCCGCGUGUGUGAAGAAGGCCUUCGGGUUGUAAAGCACUUUCAGUGGGGAAGAAAGCCUUGGGGCUAAUACCCUCGAGGAAGGACAUCACCCACAGAAGAAGCACCGGCUAACUCCGUGCCAGCAGCCGCGGUAAUACGGAGGGUGCGAGCGUUAAUCGGAAUUACUGGGCGUAAAGCGCGCGUAGGCGGUCUGAUAAGCCGGUUGUGAAAGCCCCGGGCUCAACCUGGGAACGGCAUCCGGAACUGUCAGGCUAGAGUGCAGGAGAGGAAGGUAGAAUUCCCGGUGUAGCGGUGAAAUGCGUAGAGAUCGGGAGGAAUACCAGUGGCGAAGGCGGCCUUCUGGACUGACACUGACGCUGAGGUGCGAAAGCGUGGGUAGUAAACAGGAUUAGAUACCCGAGUAGUC